rnacentral:rRNA from 1 species
AUUGAACGUUGGCGGCAUGCUUUACACAUGCAAGUCGAACGGCAGCGCGGGCUUCGGCCUGGCGGCGAGUGGCGAACGGGUGAGUAAUGCAUCGGAACGUGCCCAGUAGUGGGGGAUAGCCCGGCGAAAGCCGGAUUAAUACCGCAUACGACCUGAGGGUGAAAGCGGGGGACCGAAAGGCCUCGCGCUAUUGGAGCGGCCGAUGUCGGAUUAGCUAGUUGGUGGGGUAAAGGCUUACCAAGGCGACGAUCCGUAGCUGGUCUGAGAGGACGACCAGCCACACUGGGACUGAGACACGGCCCAGACUCCUACGGGAGGCAGCAGGGGGGAAUUUUGGACAAUGGGGGCAACCCUGAUCCAGCCAUGCCGCGUGCGGGAAGAAGGCCUUCGGGUUGUAAACCGCUUUUGUUCGGGAAGAAAUCCUCUGGGCUAAUACCCCGGGGGAUGACGGUACCGGAAGAAUAAGCACCGGCUAACUACGUG